rnacentral:rRNA from 1 species
GGGGCGAGCGGGGACGUGAAGCUUGCUUCACUCGCCGGCGACCGGCGGCACGGGUCGAGUAACACGUAUCGUCAACCUGCCCCUCGGACUCGGGGGAGUAAGACCGGCGGAAAUACCGGUCUAAUACCGCGUAACAUCCUUGCGGGGCGAUCCCGUUAGGAUCAAAGGAAGCGAUUCCGGCCAGGGAUGGGCAUGCGGCACAUUAGCUAGUCGGCGGGGUAACGGCCCACCGAGGCGACGAUGCGUAGGGGUUCUGAGAGGAAGGUCCCCCACACUGGUACUGAGACACGAACCAGACUCCUACGGGAGGCAGCAGUGAGGAAUAUUGGUCAAUGGGCGCGAGCCUGAACCAGCCAAGUCGCGUGAGGGAAGACGGUCCUAUGGAUUGUAAACCUCUUUUGCCGGGGAGCAAGCUGUGUCACGUGUGACACAGCUGAGAGUACCCGGAGAAAAAGCAUCGGCUAACUCCGUG